ACCGGGCCUAGCGGGCUCACCCGGUUGUUGUGGCGCGCCUGCUCCAGAGUGGCGGUGAAGAGGAAGCAGCGGCAGGGAAAGCCCGCGGCUCGGGCGCACUGGACGUACCUGUGGGGGAAGGAGCUGGAUGUGCAGGCCCCGCCCACCCCGCCGCAGGCCCCGCCCACCCUAUCGCAGGCUCCCCGCUACCUGGCGCGGCUCGCGGAGUCCGGGUUUGUGUUGUCGAUGGCGACCCGUUUCCCUUGCUUCAGGGCUGUCUCACACGCGGUCACACAGCGCUGCCAGGAGCCUAGCGUGUCCUGGGGACACGAGAGGUCACAAACGGAUCCGGAGACCCGAGGGGAGAGAAGACCCAGAGCGGGGUCGGGGAGGCAGUGAUGGAGGGAAGCCGCCCCAAACUAGUUGAGCGGUGAAGAUGGGAACUGAAUAGAUUCGGGGCGGCCAAAGCCUAGUCAUACCCUGUUCACAUGGACGUAUCCGGCCGACACGAGGUGCUUCUUGAGAAAGGUGGACUUCCCGGCUGUGUGGGGGGCAGUGUCGGUGGGUGGCCUAGGACCCCGGAGGGGCUCAGGGCACAGGGGCAGGGCACUCACCACCAGGGAAUCCCACGGCGACCACCACCUCCGGGCUGGAGCUCAGGAGGGCCCUGGACUCGGGGAGGCAGAGAGGUCCUGAGCGGGAGAGAGUCCUCUGCGAGGGGAGGGGCACACGCGUGAGACGCUGUCCCCGUCUCCGGGAGCCCUCCCGCUCCCACCCCCACCCCAACCCCCACCCCAGGGCCUCACAGGGUCAAAGGCUGGGAGCUCAAAGCCGGCUGCUGGCCACUUCAGGAAGAACUCCUCAGGCGUGGCGAAGGGCAGGCCAAGGUUGAGGGCAAACUAGGGGUUGAGAACGGACAUCAGACACAGGCCCGGGUCGGGCUCGGGCGCGGGGCAGCGGGCAGGGGCCUCACCAAGCGAUCUGCGCAGGAGAAGUCUUUCUUCUUCCGCCCUAGGGCCCAGUUGGCCGGGCGUCCGGCUGCGUCUGGAACACACGGGACACACUGUCCCCACCAGCUCGGAGGGAGGGGUCCCAGCCCACCCUCAGCAGCCUCCAGGCCCUUACCUCCCACAAAGAUGCUGUCCCGGAUGGAGAUGGGCGCGCCCUCGUUGGCCUGCGGGAGAUGGCAGUGAGGAGGCCCUUCCCAUAACUGUCCCGCCGCAGCAGUAGCGGGUCCCUGGGGCUGCUUCGCCUGGUCUAUGCCGCGCAUCAGGCCUCAUCCUCCAACUUUUCAUGUCCCCACCAUCCAGCCACUUUGCACCGUGCUCCUGGCCCUGUGGUCUCUCCACGCAGCCCCCUCCCUCCAGGCUUCCCGGCUUCCGCCUCCGCCGGUUCCCCACGCGGCCACCAGAGGGCGCCCGCUCUGCCUCAGCUCCAGCCUCCUGGGGGCCGGCGCCUCCCAGGCUCCCCCUCCCUCAGGGCAAAAGCGGGGCCCUCCCUGUGGCCCUGCCCUCUCCCCUCCCUCGCUUAGGGCCAGCCGCAUGGGCCUCCCUGUCCCUAACUAGCCCAGGCUAGGGGCUGCCUCAGGGCCUUUGCACUUGCUGUCACUCCUGUGGGGGGGAACCACUUUCCCCAGGUGUCCACGUGGCUCCCUCCUUCCUCUGUCUUAGGCCUUUUCCUCGGAUGUCACCUCCUCAGAGGCCAUCCGUGCCCACCACAGCUGAAACGAUGCCUGCUUUCUCCACCUCCCUCCCUCCCACUGUUUUACACGCCAGUCUGCCCAUCCGCCCAGAGUCACGGCCCUCGCUGUGGGGGCCCCGCUGGAGCAGGCUGUCCCGCUCACCGCUAUCUUCAGCUCAAGAACGUGCUAAACUUCAGAACAAAUGCACACACAAACGAAUGAAGGAAGGAAUGAACAGCUUCUCUCUCUACUACUCUGAUUUAGAAAGUUUAAGAACAUUGGUCUCGUAAACCAACAUCUAAGAUGUGACAGCAAAAAAACAGAAGGCAGGUCCGAGGGAGGACAGGAGGAGUAAGGAAGCCCGGACCUGGCCGGAGAGCGGGGAGCCCAGGAGUGAGGGGCUGGAGCGAGGAAAAGGAGGGAAGCCGGGCAGACUGCGAGACUCACCUGCUCCUGCAGAUGGUCCCACAUGCCUGUCACUGGCUUCCGGUACAAGCCUGCGUGCGUGGCCACCAGCACCUGUGGAUGGGAGGGGGCCACCAGCCUCAGCUCCUCCUCAAGCACCUACUGGAUGCUACCCCAGCCCUCACCCAGCCAAGCAGAGCUACAGAAUUUGUAGCUGAUGAUGGGUUCUUAUCAGCAUCACACCGCCUGAGGCCUCUGCCCCACUUAUCCUGGAGUCUGAAGCCCUCUCUCCAGAUCUGUGUGCCCCCACAUAGCUCCCAGCCUCCCUUCCAGCCAUACCUGGAAGGGGACCCCCAGCUUCUCCACCACAGCCUCCACCUUGGCCUUGAACUCUUCGGCUGGCAGCUUCCCGCGCCCGAUGCUCAUCUGGUUGGUGAAGAUCACCAGCUGGGGAGCAGAGAGUGUCACGAGGCGCCUGCUCACCAGGACCUUGGUCUGACCUGAGGUCGGACCGCCACCUGCACGCGCCCAUGUAGACAGGCGGCUGCACAUACCUUGUAGCCCUCGGCUUCCAGCUCCCGGAGCUUACGCGGAAUCUCUGGGUACAAGAUCCUAGGGCAGUCACUGGGGCCAGUGGGAAAGACCUUCCCAGAGCGUGUGGUGAUGAGGGUCCCGUCCAGAUCAAAGCCAGCCACCUGGUGUCACCAAGGAAAGAGGAACAGCAGCACUGUGAUACCUCUGACCCUCUCCACUCAUAGGCUGACUCACACCAACCCUGCCAUCUCACAGAUGGGGAAACCAAGUCACAGAACAGCUCCAUGUCAAGCAUCCGUGAAGCCUCUGAGUGCGGCCUGACAUCUUAACCUUCCUGUCUCCUGUUCCUCCUCAUGACCCCGGCCCCAGGAUUACAGUCUUUAAAAUGGGGGUUAAUGUCUUACCCAGCCUCCUUCCUCCCCUGGCCUUCUCCACCUUGGUGGGCUGCUAAUCGUGAAAAUAAAAACAGGAGCAAAGCUUUGGGUGCUAACUGCAUGUCAGGGACUAUGCCACGUGCUUUUUAUGGAUUCAGCAUCGUAGAGACGAGAGACAUGGGACUCAGAAUGUGGUGGUUAACAGCAUUUGAACUCAAGUCUCUCUGGACCUAAAAAAUACUCAUCAUAAUAGCUCCUACUGAGACGGUCAUGGUCAUUGCUGAUGACUGGGUGGUCACCGUGGGACAUGCAGGAGCUGACAUACAUCAUUUUCCCCACUGCUUACAACGAACCCUGCGUUUAUCAUUAGGCCCAUUUCUCAGAAAAGUAAAUAGAGGCUAAAAAGAA